CAAGUCGAACGAGAAAGUGGAGCAAUCCAUGAGUACAGUGGCGUACGGGUGAGUAACACGUGGAUGAUCUACCUUUUAGUGGGGAAUAACUCUGGGAAACCGGAGAUAAUACCGCAUAAUCCCGAGAGGGGAAAGCAGCAAUGCGCUGAAAGAGGAGUCCGCGGCCGAUUAGCUAGUUGGCAGGGUAAAAGCCUACCAAGGCAAAGAUCGGUAGCCGGCCUGAGAGGGCACACGGCCACACUGGCACUGAAACACGGGCCAGACUCCUACGGGAGGCAGCAGUGGGGAAUCUUGCACAAUGGGGGAAACCCUGAUGCAGCGACGCCGCGUGAGCGAUGAAGCCCUUCGGGGUGUAAAGCUCUUUCGGCAGGGAAGAUGAUGACGGUACCUGCAGAAGCAGCUGCGGCUAACUACGUGCCAGCAGCCGCGGUAAUACGUAGGCAGCAAGCGUUGUUCGGAGUUACUGGGCGUAAAGGGUGUGUAGGCGGUUAUUUAAGUUUGGUGUGAAAUCUCCCGGCUCAACCGGGAGGGUGCGCCGAAUACUGAAUGACUUGGAGUGCGGGAGAGGAAAGUGGAAUUCCUGGUGUAGCGGUGAAAUGCGUAGAUAUCAGGAGGAACACCGGUGGUGUAGACGGCUUUCUGGACCGUAACUGACGCUGAGACACGAAAGCGUGGGUAGCAAACAGGAUUAGAUACCCUGGUAGUCCACGCCCUAAACGAUGCAUAUUUGGUGUGGGCAGUUCAUUCUGUCCGUGCCGGAGCUAACGCGUUAAAUAUGCCGCCUGGGGAGUACAGUCGCAAGGCUGAAACUCAAAGGAAUUGACGGGGGCCCGCACAAGCGGUGGAGCAUGUGGUUCAAUUCGACGCAACGCGAAGAACCUUACCUGGGCUCGAACGGCUGGUCAACGGAGGUGG
rnacentral:rRNA from 1 species